rnacentral:rRNA from 1 species
GAAGUAAAAGUCGUAACAAGGUCUCCGUAGGUGAACCUGCGGAGGGAUCAUUACUGAGUGAGGGCCUUCGGGCUCGACCUCCAACCCUUUGUGAACACAACUUGUUGCUUCGGGGGCGACCCUGCCGUUUCGACGGCGAGCGCCCCCGGAGGCCUUCAAACACUGCAUCUUUGCGUCGGAGUUUAAGUAAAUUAAACAAAACUUUCAACAACGGAUCUCUUGGUUCUGGCAUCGAUGAAGAACGCAGCGAAAUGCGAUAAGUAAUGUGAAUUGCAGAAUUCAGUGAAUCAUCGAAUCUUUGAACGCACAUUGCGCCCCUUGGUAUUCCGAGGGGCAUGCCUGUUCGAGCGUCAUUUCACCACUCAAGCCUCGCUUGGUAUUGGGCGCCGCGGUGUUCCGCGCGCCUCAAAGUCUCCGGCUGAGCUGUCCGUCUCUAAGCGUUGUGAUUUCAUUAAUCGCUUCGGAGCGCGGGCGGUCGCGGCCGUUAAAUCUUUCACAAGGUUGACCUCGGAUCAGGUAGGGAUACCCGCUGAACUUAAGCAUAUC